CAGACGGCCUGCCAAGUUUCAGGGACUGAUGCUAGGAAUUUGCAGAAAAGUUAACACCUGAGCCCUGACCAGAAGGAUCUCGUAACUUAUCAUCAGAAAGACCUGAGGGCCUGAGGGCCUUUGGGGCUCUGGGUUCCUGACCAGGAGGGCACUGGGGAGUGGAGAGCUGGAGGGGCACAGAGGGAAGGCACUGUGGGUACAUUACGGUGCUGACCAUCAAUGGUACCCUUAACCAUCCGGCCCCCGGACCAUUCUCAGGAUCUCCACCCCCACCUCAGAGGUCUGUAAAAGCUCUCAAAAGCACCAGAAGAAACAGAAGGAGAUGGAAGGUGUGGCUGACAUUUUCACCCCAUUUGGUAAAUCCCUGUUCUCAAGUGCAGAGCAGGUCUUAGGUUCACAAAGAAGAGAGAGCGCUCCUCCCAGCCCAGCUAAGCCUGCCCUGAGGUGUGCUGGCCCUUCCUGCUGGCCCCUGGGGAGAAAAAGCACUUCUGGGGGUAACUGGGAGAGUCCUUCCUUUUAAUCAGGGAGCACUGUUUGAGGAAACAGUUGGGGGGGUUGGAGGGGAGGGAGGAAGAAUGUUAACAGAUCAGUUAAGGAUGCAGAGUGUUAACAGAACAGU